AGACACUGUCACGCACAAAGAUGAAACAACAUUUCAUAGAGACCACUUCUCUUAGUGACAUUCAGCAGGUUUGAAGCGUUCCCAGCACGGCACUAAGCUGCUGGACAGGGAAUCCCAAAACCAAGAGCAGCCCUGCAGCCCUCCCUGCCUCUGUGGACCCCAGUUCAAAGACAAGCAGACUGAAAAGGAGGACACCAGACCUCACGAUGCAAAAGCAAAGAACUGUAGGCUUGGUAUUUACACGAGGCUAUUCAUUUGCCAAUUACUAAUCUGCAGCGCCACCACCAUUAUUAGUGCCUAAUCAUAUGGAGUGCUGCCCAGAUGGAUGAAACUGAAGUUUAUCUAAAACUGAAGUACAACUUUCAGAUGCAGACCUGCAACGACAAGAUGUGAAAUAGCCUGCUGAUAAUCAAGCUCUGAGACCUCCUGUGCCUUGGCUGGGGGAAAAGAUAAGGCAUAGGGAAAGUUCCUUAGAGGAGUAAAGGAAGGAUGAAGAACAACAUCCAGCAAAAAUGAACCCAAGCCUGCCAAGUCUGGACAGGUGCCAAGCUGUGACUGCAGGGAUGCCACUUCUGGGUACUCACCUUCCGCUGCUGCUGCUUUGAUUCCUGCCAAAACAUGCAGCCAUAACAGGGAAAGACUAAAAGGCUGAGCCUAUCCAGUGGAAAAACAACAGAGAGAGGGGCUUAGGAGGACAAAUCUUUUCUGUUGCCAGGUGUUUUCCUUCCUUGGCCUGUUUGUUGACACUCCUAGCAUGGGGCUUGUGUCCAUGGCAAUGCAAGUCUGAAUGGGUCACUCCAGAAUCCUGCCUUCAUCCAGAAGUCGUGGAAGUAAAUGGGAGUAGUUCUUAGCAAACAAAUGCUGUUAGCGCUUCCAAGGAUGUUCAAAAAACUCCUGGUUUUGUGGAGUCCUUAUAUAUAAUAUAUAUACGUAUGUAUAUAUGUAUAUAUAUGUUUAUAUACUUUUAUAUAUAUACACACACACAGUCUGGUUCUUGGAUUGCCCAUAGUCAGCACAUCCGACACAGGUGCAACAGUCCAGUGCAGGCUUAUCAGUAUCAGAGAAGCCAGGGCCUUCAUGCCACAGCAAGCCACCACAUCUAAAGAGUAGCCCAGAAUGUGACAGGCGUUGAGACCUUCCCCUUAUCUUCCUUGUUCCUGACACCCCUGUGUAGGUAGAGAUGCCUCCAGCUGUCCUUGCAUUCCACAGCAAUCUUUGAGACAAAAGGAGAUUUUCUAUGGCAUCUCACACAUACCAAGAUGAUUAACAUUGUCAGAGUUUUGUUUUUCUAGCAAUUAACUUUUUAACUCCUGAAAUGUUGUAAAGUAUAGAAUGCAGGAGAUUACACAGCACUUGCCUGCAAAUCUAAAGCCUCAAGACCCCAUCUCUGAGCUGAGGUCCCCAGGCUAUUUUGGCACAGCAAUGCGUUUAAGCUUCAUAGGAAACAAAGCAACAAAAAAUUAUAUACCUCUUAAGUUGUUGGUCAUGUUUUUUAGCCACUUUUUAAGGUGAAAAUGAAAUCCUGUAGUCAGUGAUUACAAAUAGAGAGGUUUCUGCCAGACAUAAACAGAUGAUUGUUCUUAUAUGAGCCAGUGUGCAUACUACACUUCAGAACAACGUAUCUGUACUUAAACGGGGCAGCAGUUACUUUGCUUCUGUGUUCUCAGAUAGCCUCCCCUGAAUGGGUGGUGAUUCCAGAAAAGCAAAAUGCAAUCUGUACCAGCUACUUACCUCAUCCAAAGCAGCUGAGGCAAUAAGGGAUGGAGACUGACAGCUCUUUUUGUAGUCUCCAGACUGCCCAGCUGAUGAAGGAAUGGGUGUUCCCAGCAGGUUGAAAAGCACCUUUCCUUUUUCCCAUUCAUGGCAUACAACAAAUACCAAAGAGUCUGAGCAUUUACAUUUUCAUGGUUAAAUUAAGCAACUGAUUUGACGCUGUGGAGAGCCAUUUUUUUCCUCCCUAAUCUUAGAUGCAGGAUUUUACCAACCUCUAGAUCCUUGCAGUUACUGCAAAUAAACAUGCAUUUCAGAAGCAUUUUCCACCUAUAUUUCAUUACAUUGCAUACUCAUACUGAAUAGCUAACAAAGCAUUGAGUUUUAAGAAACAAAUUCUUAUUUAGAUUUAAUUCAAUUUAAGGCUGCUUUUAUUUAUUUCUUUUUUAAAAGCAAUACACUUUGUGUUUUAUGUAUUUAUCUUCCUUUAGUGGCAUGCAUUUCUACAAGCGAUAAAUCCCUAUCCCAUUUCAUGUGCUGCAGAGCUCUCUAAACGAGGACUGCCGUAAUCCCAGCGUUCUCCUAACGGUGGCGCUGAAGAACAGAGAAAUGACUUUUGGAAUGACUUUUGGCAAAACAAGGUAACAGAUGCAGGUACAGAUAAUGAGUACACUUUACAAAAUAAACACCCAAUACUUUAAUCAUCAUUAAAAAUGGCAAGUAUAGAUCCUUUAGAGUAACAUUUGAAUGAAGAAGUUUGACUGCGAUGCCUUCAGCAUUUGAAAGUAAUGUUGAUUUAUUAGCAAGGUGAUGAACAAAUGUAUAAGCAAACUUUAUAAACUUACUUAAUUUUUCCUAGUAAACUGGAAUUAACAGUCCUCUGCACCUUGCAGAAUAUGAUAUCAACAGUUUCAGUUCAUGUAGUGCUUCUUCCAUUAUAGAAGCAACUUCUAUACCAUAUAAAAGUACAACCACAGAUAACAGGACUUAUUAAAAAAAACGUUCUGCAGUCCUUGCUGGAGAGAUCCAAUGUAGCAUAAUGAGGGUUCAGCUGUAGACAGAUGCUGAGGAGCAUGAA